UAUUGGGGAGGAAAAAGUCAACAAACCAACUGCUUGGGGAAGUCCAACAAUGCUUUACACUUCAAGACUUACCUAUCCUUAAAUUGUUGUUGACAUUCCUUGCUGAAAUCGAUUGUUCUUAAAGUGCAUGCUUUUAUUAUUUUAAGAAAAAUAAUUAUUCAUUGAUUUAUUUCAAAAUUAUCAGCAUAAAAUUCAAUUUUAAAACAGAAACGAAUUAAAAUAGAAAUAAUUGGAUAAAAGCU
rnacentral:lncRNA from 1 species